GAAGUGUCACGGUGUCACCUGGAAGUGUCACGGUGUCACCCGGAGCUGUCAUGGUGUCACCUGGAGAUGUCACGGUGUCACUCGGAGGAGUCACGGUGUCACCCGAAGGCGUCAUGGCGUCACCUGGACGUCUCACGGUGUCACCCGGCGUUGUCACGGCGUCACCUGGAGGUGUCACAGUGUCACCCGCAGCUGUCACGGUGUCACCCGGCCAAGUCACGGUGUCACCCGGAAGCAUCACGGUGUCACCUGGAGCUGUCAUGGUGUCACCCGGAGGCAUCAUGACGUCACCCAGAGGUGUCACGGUGUCACCCGGAGCCGUGGCGGUGGUGGCAGUGCGGUGUGCCGGGCUGUCCCCGCCGUGCGUCACGUUGUCACCGAGCGCCGUCCGCUUGUGACCGAGCGGAGUGGCGGUGUCACCCGUGCCUGGCAGGUUGUCACCAAGGGACGCCGGGCUGUCACCGGUCGGGGUGACGUUGUCACCGAGAGCUGUCCGCUUGUCCCCAACAGCCGUCCCGUUGUCACCGGUCCACUUAGCACUGCCACCGAUUGGUGUCACACUGUCCCCAAGAGUUGUCCCGUUGUCACCCGUACGCCUUGCACUGCCACCAACCGGCGUCACAUUGUCCCCAACAGCCGUCCCGUUGUCACCGGUACGCCUUGCACUGCCACUGAUUGGUGUCACACUGUCCCCAACAACCUCCUGAUUGUCACUGGUCCCCUCUGCAUCGCCACCAGCUGCUGUCACAUUGUCCCCAACACCUGCCCGGUUGUCACCGGUCCUCUUUGGGCUGUCACCAGCCGGUGUCACAUUGUCCCCAACAGCCGCUCGCUUGUCACCAGUCCUCUUUGGGCUGUCACCAGCUGCCAUCACAUUGUCCCCAACAGCCGCCCGCUUGUCACCGGUCCACUUAGCCCUGCCACCAACCGGUGUCACCCUGUCCCCAACAGCCACCCGCUUGUCACCGGUCCUCUUUGGGCUGUCACCAGCUGCCAUCACGUUGUCCCCAACAGCCGCCCGCUUGUCACCGCUGCACUUUGGGCUGUCACCAGCUGCCAUCACGUUGUCCCCAACAGCCGCCCGCUUGUCACCGGUCCUCUUUGGGCUGUCACCAACCGGUGUCACAUUGUCCCCAACAGCCGCUUGCUUGUCACCGCUACACUUCGCCCUGCCACCAACCGGUGUCACCCUGUCCCCAACAGCCACCCGCUUGUCAACGCUACACUUAGCCCUGCCACCAGCCGGUGUCACAUUGUCCCCAACACCUGCCCGGUUGUCACCAGUCCCCUUUGGGCUGUCACCAACCAGUGUCCCAUUGUCCCCAGCAGCCGCCCUCUUGCCCCCGCUGCCCUUCGUGCCGUCCCGGUUGUCACCGGUCCCCUCUGCGCCGUCCCCGGCCGCCGUCCGUGCGUCCCCAUGCGCCGUCCCGCCGUCCCCCUCUGCCACGAAGCGCCGGGGGGGUCGGAUGGGGCGGGAGGAGCGGGCGCUGACCAGCGG
rnacentral:lncRNA from 1 species